UAUAUCAUAGCAGAAUUGAUUCAUGCAAUAUAUUGUACAACAACACCACCACUCCUCCAAAGAAAUUAAAAAAACCUGCUCAAUAUCAGACUGGAUUAUCGAUAGUUCUGUUAAAUGGAAAUUCAACGUCCAUCCCUAGAGCACAGCAAUUAAAGUACUGUCACCAGCUACAGUGAGCCGAAGGGAGUAUGCCCAGCUUCUUGGAAAUGGAGGAACCAAUCAUAACAUCAGUGAGACAUGGCUGACGUCAGGAUAUCACAGACCAUCCAAUGGUGGACUAUCAUCAGGAAGAGGAACAGCUGGACCAUCAUCUGGAAGAGGAAGAGGGGGCCAUCAUCAGGAAGAGGAAGAAAUUAGUCAAGUGCCUGUGAAAAUCGGGCAGCUGCACUGAGGGAAGCACGCCUGAGGCUGCCGAAUAUCCUGAGGCCCAUUCUGCCCAGCAUUUCCACCUACAGCAGAUGCACUGUUGCAGAAAAAAAGACGGUAGAGUACUGUUGCUGUAUCAUACUGCCACCAUACCUUCCAUGUCCCUUGCCUGACACAAUGGCUACAGAUAAAGAGUAUUUGUCCCGUGUGCCACACAAGGUGCUGUGAUCUGGACAUUUUUUCCCUCCUUAUCUGAAGGGCACCAAACAGAAGCAGAGGACCCAAUCUAAACAUCAAAAAUAUAUAGUGUCAACCUGGCAACAUGUAUGCUGAAGAAUGCGAGACUCCAAAAAGGCUGAAAUUUACAAGGGCAAAAAUGGCCUCCAUUAACCAUUUCAUCGCUGCAAUCCAGCAGAAUCCACAUAGCAGCGCUAAGGACUGACAUAAGGACAAAUCAAAAGUUUUCCAGUUUCACAAGAAAGGGGAAUGUCUUCAUUAACCCUUUUCAUCACAGUAAUCAUUACUUGUCUUUCAAAAUACAUGUACACACCCACAACAGUGUACUGUACAGCUCCUCACUGUGAUUAUGCAGAAUUGUCUCAUCCCUUCAUAUACCUUUAAUCACAUAUAUGUGAACAUUUGUCUGAUAUAUAUAUAUAUAUAUAUAUAUAUAUAUUAUAUCAUUGUAUUAUACCUUGUAAAUGUUUUUUUAAAUUACACAGUAGAUAUUAUUUAUGCUUCCUUCACAAAGCUUCAAAUUAAAUUAAAUAUCUAAUAAAGGAUGGCAUACCCAGUUGUAACAGAUUGGGCCAAGAUUAUUAAGUGGGGUGAUUAACUCUCUUUAUACAGACUGCACCUAGUCUAAGAGAAUUAAUUAUAGCACAGAAGGGUCAUUGUAGUUACUGUAUAUGCACAUGGCUGCAUAUUAUAUGAUGCUGGAUGUAAUUUGAUAUAUUUAAAGCCAUUCCUAAAUUAUAUUUAAUAUCUG